UGAAAUUUACAAUUCAACAAGCCUUGGAUAUGAGCGUGGAAAAUUAGUAGGGAAUGUCCCUAUAUUUUCACAAAAAUAGUUGAUAAAGACAAAAGUCAUUAAAACUGAGGAAGAAUAGGAUAAAGAUGAUUCACGCUUAAUUUCCACUUAAUGCUAGCAUAAUAUGUUAUUUGUUCUUUAGAUGCAAAUGAAUUUAAAUCAAAUCUCUGCCUGCGAAUCCUGGCAAAGGAAUUAUGGGAUAAACUUGAAUGAACUUAUGAAGGUACAAAUCAAGUAAGAACUAAAUUAGUAAAUAGUUUCAUGAUAAUGAAUUAUUUUGUAUGAAAUCUUAAGAAUCGAUAUCUGAACUGUUUACAGUAUCUACUAAUAUUAUAAACACCAUUAAAAUCUCUUGGCAAAUGUUUACUAAUUGUGGAAAAUAUGAGAAAAAUUCUUAGAUCCUUGCCAAAGACUUGGGAUGCAAAAAUACAACAGCUAUUGAAGAAGCUAAUUAGAUCUCACAACGAUGAGUCGUGAUGACUUUGGGGUUCACUCAUACCCACGAGAUCAUGUGUGAAGGACGAGAAGAAGAAAUUAAACAAGCCCGAAAAGAAGUCGUCGCACUCCAAAUCUCUCAUCAAGAAGUGAGGAAUAAGAAGAGGACGUGACGACGAAAAGAAGGCACUUCUCACAAAAACGAUGCAAAAAGAUUUUGAGAAAGAAGAAAACAUUCAAAUAGGAAGCAAACUCCUUACGGCGAACACAAGUAAAAAGGAUCCUUCAACUUGCUCUUGAUUGCCACAAAGCCUGGACACUAAAAUCAGAUUUUUCCCCGCCUUAAGAAGGAAGGAAAUAAAUUCAAAUAAAAGCCUUUAAGGUGACUUGGGAUGAUUCAGAAGGAAGCGAAUCAAAACAAGAAAAGGAAGAGCGAAAAUGAGAUGGCUAAUUUUUUGCCUCAUGGCAAAAGGAAGAUGAUGUAAGUCUUUUAAUAUUGAUGAUGAAUAACCUUCCUAUAAGAACUUCAAGAUGUCUAUGAUGAGUUAUGUGAAAAUACUAUAAAACUAUAUGCAAAUACAUAACUCUUAAAAAGAAGAAACUGAAUUUUUAAUUUAUAGUUACUUUUGAAAAAUAAAAAUAAAUUUUACUCAAAAUAAUAUAAUCUCACCUCAAGAUCAAGUCGACAAUAUUCUAGAAGAAGAAAAUAACAGGCUAAAAGAAAACCAUUAAAACUUAAACAAACCUAGCAAAAUUUGUAUUGGCAAGAAACUUAGAUAAGCUACUUGGAAUACAAAGAUGUGUCUUUAAAACAAGGAAGAUUUGGAUUGCUCCUAAGAAUAAACAAAAAUUUUAUAAAAUUUCUUUGAUAAAGAUCUUCCUUCAAUUUUUCAUUCACUCUUAUAAGUCAUAUGGAAGAAAUGGACAUAUUAUAGAUGCUUUUAAAAAUCCUAUGAAUAAAGCUAUUCACAGAGAUAAAUUUAAGGGAUCAAAUUUUUUAAAAAUAUUAACAUUGGAACACUCCAUAAAACUUUAGGUCCUAAACAAAUAAUGUACUUAAAACUGACUCUUCACGGACCAAGAAAUUUGGUACCCGCAAAAGAUUUUAUUUGAUGUAUUUGUAGGUAUGCCUUAAGUCAUAUGGGAGCUCGGAUAAAUGGUUUAAGAUAGCGCUUACUCAAGACAUAUGACGUGAGACAAAUCCAAGCUUGCAUCUUUCAUACCCAAGGAUGCGGAGGAUUUGGGCACAUGUGGUGAUAAUUCAAAAGAGGUAAAAAUGAUUGGAGUUGGAAAUAUUAACAAUUAUCUUCUCGUUGCUUGAAAAUGUUUACUGUGAUGGCCUUAAGCAUAAUCUUAAUAAAGUAUAAGUCAAUUAUGUGAUAAAAAUUAUAGGUUAGAUUGAUAAAAAUCAAUGCAUAGUUACGCAUGCUCUUAAUGAUAAAUCUUAUUUAGUGCAUCUAAACAUGAAAAUGUAUACAUCUUUGACUUUGAUAGUCUAGUUAGUCAAGAGGCAAAUGUCUUGCUGUUAUAAUAAAAAUAGCUGGUCUAUGCAUCGAAGAUUAGGACAUGAUAGCUGGAUUAUUUCAUAAAUUGAAUAAGCAUGAUUUUCGUUCAAAGGUUUACCUAAAACAAGUUUGUGAAAGAUAAAUUUGUGCAUGCAUGUCACAGGGAAGCACCAUAAAAUAUUUUUUUCAAAGAAAGAAAUAUAUUUCCACAUCUAGACCACUUCAAAAUGACUGCAUAUGAUUUGUUUGGUCCAGUAGGGUUGCAAGUAUUGGUGAAAAAUUUUACGGCAUUUGUAAUUGUGAUGAUUUUUCACGUUUUUACAUGGGUAUUAUUCCUCACUCACAAAAUGAAGCACACAUUGCAUUUGAUAACAUGUUAUAAAAAAGCACAAAAUAAAAUAGGUUGCACUAUCACUAAUAUUAGUAGUGAUUGUAGAGGUAGAGGAUUUGAUAAUUAAGAUAUUGAAAAAUAUUGCGAUGCUUAACGGUUUUUCCACAACUCUCUGCACCUAGAAAACCUCAACAAAAGGGAGUUGUUGAACGUAAAAAUAGAUCUCUUCAAGAAAUGGUAGAACCCAUGUUAAAUGAACAUAAUUUCCUAGUUAAUUUUUGGGCCUGAAGCUGGUAAAUCACAGCUUGUAUAUUAUAAAUCAGUGUAGUCAUUAGAUCAAAACUUGAAAAAAGCUCCUUACGAGCUUUGGAAAGGAAGAACACCAAUAUUGGUUAUUUCAAAGGAUUUGGUUGUAAAAUGCUUUAUUUCUAAAUGACAAAGAUAAUUGGGAAAAUUUGAUGUAAUCUGAUAAAGGCAUAUUUCUGGAUAUUCUACUAAUAGCCCCAAGCUUAUAGAGUCUAUAACAAAAGACUUUAACUAUUGAAGAAUCUAACAUGUUGCCAUGAUGAAGUGAUUCUUCAAACUAAGAACAUUGAGAUAAUGAUGAUGAUAUUAAUGUACAGGAAAAUAAUGAUAAUAAUAUUAAUUCACCAAAGAUCAAAUCUCUCCAAGGACCUAAUGAAGAAGAAAGUAUGAAAAAGCAUCUCUCUUUGAACAAAGAUCAACAAUUUCCAAAUCUUGGGAGAAUUGUUAACAGAUCACCAUAUUGAUCAAUUCUAGGUGACCCUCACAAGGUGUAAAUCACAGGUCUUACUUAGAAAUGUGUGUAAUAACAUGACUUUUGUAUCAGAAAUUUGAACCUAAGAAUAUGAAGAAGCUGAAAUUGAUGAGUUUGGUUAAUGGCCACGGAAGAAGAACUUAACCAAUUUGAAGGAAUAAUGUUUGGCAUUGGUUCCUAGACCCAAACAUCAAUCAAUUGUGAAAACAAAUAGAUUUUCGUAACAAAAAAGGAUGAAAAUGGCAUAUCAUUAGAAAUAAAGCUAGAUUAGUAGCCCAAGGCUUCAACCAAGAAGAAGGUAUGAAUAUGAUGAAAAAACCUUGCCGUAGCUCGACUUGAGUAUAAGAAUGCUAUAGCUUUUGCGUCUAUAAAGAUUUAAAUUAUUUCAAAUGGAUGUCAAAAUGCAUUUUUUAAAUGGUCUCAUUCUAAGAAGUUAUGUUGAACCACCACCUGUUUUGAAAAUCACGAAUUUCAAAAUCAUGUUUUCAAUUGACCAAAGCUUUGUAUGGUUAAACAAGCCCCAAGAAGCAUGGUAUGAAAAGACUAAGAGAGAUUUAUUUUGGAAAAAAAGUUUUAGAAGAGAGAAACAAUUGACACUACCUUAUUUACCAAAAUCAAAAAAUGAUAAUUACUUAUUGUGCAAAUUAUGUUGAUGAUAUCAUUUUUGGAUCAACAAAAUGAGAAUAUGUGUAGGAAUUUUCAAAAUUAUGAAAAAGAAUUUGAAAUGAGAUGAUGGUGAAACUAAAUCUUCUGGGUCUUCCCCCCAAUUAAGCAAACUACAAAUGGAAUCUUUAUCAACCAAUCUAAAAUAUAUAAAAGAUCUUCUCAAGAAAAUUGGGAUAGAAAAAAAUCAAAAAUUUAUGCAAACACAAUGAAUUCAACAACUAAACUCGAUAAAGAUGAAAAUGGAAAAAAAGUUGAUAUUAAACAAUAUAGAGGAAUGAUUGGUAGUUUACUAUAUUUAACGGCUAGUAGGCCAGAUAUCAUGUUAGGUAUGCCUUAGGUGCUCGUUCAAUAAUGUCCAAAAGAAUCACAUUAAUUGCCGUAAAAGAAUUUUUCGAUAUUUACUUGCAACAAUAGAUCUAGGUUUAUGGUUCCUAAAUUCACUUCAUGGAUGUAGUAAGUAUUCAGAUGCAGAUUUUGCAGGGUGCAAAAUUGAGCGUAAAAGUAAAGUGGGACGUGUCACUUUCCUAGGACACCACUUGUUUCUUGGUUAGCAAGAAACAAAAAUUCCGUUGCUCUUUCCACUGCUGAAGUAGAAUAUAUUGCUGUAGGCAGUUGUUGUGCUCAAGUUCUUUAUAUUGAAGCAACACUGAAGAUUUUUAAAUUAAAGUUGAUCACAUACCUAUUAGAUGUGAAAUAAUAGUGCUUAAAUAUCUAAAAAUCCUAUUUUUCACUCACGAACAAAACAGAUUGAAAUUAGACAUCACUUUAUCGGACCAUGUUCCAAAAAGGAGAUGUAGAACUAGAGUUUAUAAGUACUAAUUUUAAUGCUGAAAUUUCACAAAAUCACUUCAAGGGGACCGUUUUCUGCACCAUUCGUUCGAGAACUUGGAUAUGUAGACCUACAGAUAUGGCAUAAUAUUUCAAUAUUUUUUUAUGUACAAAUAAUUUACUGUUCUAAAUCAAAGACUUGUUUAAGCUUCUGGCGAGAAAUCUAAAGAUUUUUCUGCACUUCAAGCAAGCGACUCUCCUGUGCUCCCGAAGACGGUUAGUGUCAUCUCCAGUUCGGAAUAUUUUCUUUCCCAAGUCAUUUGCAUAGGGAAUCUACAAGUUUCUUCAGCUCUUUAUCUCCUGUGAAGACCUCUAUUCCUUCGUUUGCAACUCAAAAAUUGAGUCCUUAGCUCUUAAACUCCAUCCUCGAAACUUGCCAGACGUCGAGCCAUAUUUGAAACAGAAGAAGCCACACUGA
rnacentral:lncRNA from 1 species